rnacentral:miRNA from 1 species
AUAUAAUGUUGAGGCAAAAGUCAUUGUGGUUUUUGCUGUAAUGACAAAACCACAAUUGCUUUUGCACCAACUUAAUA